rnacentral:rRNA from 1 species
GAUGAACGCUGGCGGCGUGCCUAAUACAUGCAAGUAGAACGCUGAAGCUUGGUGCUUGCACCGAGCGGAUGAGUUGCGAACGGGUGAGUAACGCGUAGGUAACCCGCCUGGUAGCGGGGGAUAACUAUUGGAAACGAUAGCUAAUACCGCAUGACAACAGUUAUUGCAUGAUAUCUGUUUAAAAGGGGCAAUUGCUCCACUACCAGAUGGACCUGCGUUGUAUUAGCUAGUUGGUGAGGUAACGGCUCACCAAGGCGACGAUACAUAGCCGACCUGAGAGGGUGAUCGGCCACACUGGGACUGUGACACGGCCCAGACUCCUACGGGAGGCAGCAGUAGGGAAUCUUCGGCAAUGGACGGAAGUCUGACCGAGCAACGCCGCGUGAGUGAAGAAGGGUUUCGGAUCGGAAAGCUCUGUUGUAAGAGAAGAACGAGUGUGAGAGUGGAAAGUUCACACUGUGACGGUAGCUUACCAGAAAGGGACGGCUAACUACGUG